rnacentral:rRNA from 1 species
GCCAGCUGCUAUAUCACCCUGCAACUCACAACUAGCAACCCACUGAAGCUAAGCAGCUGUGAGCCUGGCUAGUAACUGGAUGGGAGACCUCAUGGAAAAGCUAAGAUUGCUGCUGGAA